UACGAAGGGAGCUAGCGUUGUUCGGAAUCACUGGGCGUAAAGCGCACGUAGGCGGAUGUGUCAGUCAGGGGUGAAAUCCCGGAGCUCAACUUCGGAACUGCCCUUAAUACAGCACGUCUUGAGUCCGGAAGAGGUGGGUGGAAUUCCUAGUGUAGAGGUGAAAUUCGUAGAUAUUAGGAAGAACACCGGUGGCGAAGGCGGCCCACUGGUCCGGUACUGACGCUGAGGUGCGAAAGCGUGGGGAGCAAACAGG
rnacentral:rRNA from 1 species